rnacentral:rRNA from 1 species
GCCGCGUGUGUGAAGAAGGCCUUUUGGUUGUAAAGCACUUUAAGCAGUGAAGAAGACUCCGUGGUUAAUACCCACGGACGAUGACAUUAGCUGCAGAAUAAGCACCGGCUAACUCUGUGCCAGCAGCCGCGGUAAUACAGAGGGUGCAAGCGUUAAUCGGAAUUACUGGGCGUAAAGGGAGCGUAGGUGGCUCGAUAAGUCAGAUGUGAAAUCCCCGGGCUCAACCUGGGAACUGCAUCUGAUACUGUUGAGCUAGAGUAUGUGAGAGGAAGGUAGAAUUCCAGGUGUAGCGGUGAAAUGCGUAGAGAUCUGGAGGAAUACCGAUGGCGAAGGCAGCCUUCUGGCAUAAUACUGACACUGAGGCUCGAAAGCGUGGGUAGCAAACAGGAUUAGAUACCCUGGUAGUCCACGCCGUAAACGAUGUCUACUAGUCGUUGGGUCCCUUGAGGACUUAGUGACGCAGCUAACGCAAUAAGUAGACCGCCUGGGGAGUACGGCCGCAAGGUUAAAACUCAAAUGAAUUGACGGGGGCCCGCACAAGCGGUGGAGCAUGUGGUUUAAUUCGAUGCAACGCGAAGAACCUUACCUGGUCUUGACAUAUCUAGAAUCCUGCAGAGAUGCGGGAGUGCCUUCGGGAAUUAGAAUACAGGUGCUGCAUGGCUGUCGUCAGCUCGUGUCGNGAGAUGUUGGGUUAAGUCCCGCAACGAGCGCAACCCUUGUCCUUAGUUACCAGCGGGGUUAAGCCCGGGAACUCUNAAGGAUACUGCCAGUGACAAACUGGAGGAAGGCGGGGACGACGUCAAGUCAUCAUUGGCCCUUACGAACCAGGGCUACACACCGUGCUACAAAUGGGUAGGUACCAGAGGGCAAGSUACACCAGCGAAUGUGAUGCCGAAUCUUCAAAAAA